rnacentral:tRNA from 1 species
GGAGAGGUACCGAAGUGGUCAUAACGGGGCCGACUCGAAAUCGGCUGUUCCCUUAAAAGGGGGACCGUGGGUUCGAAUCCCACCCUCUCCGCCA